UGUCAUAAGGUUAUAAAAUUUUUCAGGUUUGGAAGUGAACAGUACUGAUUUGAAGAUUUGGUUUCCAAAACAGAAAUUUGAGGAGAUUUAAGGCGCUGAAACGUCUUCUUUUGCAGUUACAGGGGAACACGUUGAGUUUCAGCCGUAUCGAUUCGACAACACGGUCUAUCUACGAAAUGUAAGUACAUGUAUGUAAUUUGAAGCUUCAUUUUUUUGUUUGUAUCUUCCGUUGCACGCACAUCACCAGAAACAAUAAUUAAACUUAAACGUAGGAUUGAUUUACAAAAUUUAAGAUCACAGAUACGAGAUAUAAUAACUUGAAGAGGUGAUACAUAUCGUAAAGUUUGACUUGUUAUGUGUGAAAAAUGAUGUGCAGUUCUGAAUAUAAGUUUGAGAUUACAUUUAACAUCGAAUUUAUUUUUAGAUGAAGUUUAAAAACAAAUGUGUUUAUUUAUAAUUACCAAUUAUCUGAGAGCAGGAUAAUUCUUCAGUAAUCGUCUUAAGUUAUUAAAGUCUGCAAGUAGCGAAACAAGUAUUAAUAAGUAAUGGACCCUCAUAUAUGAAAUUUGUAUUAUUUAAAAUUUAAUUUGCUGUUAUAUCUAAGAUAUUCGGAAACGUUCAAAUUUUCGAAUUUCCAUGCUAAAUCAUUAAUCUCAAAUCUUUACUUUUUAUCUUUUGUAUUUCUUUCUCAACUUUUCACUUUCGUACAUUAAGCA
rnacentral:lncRNA from 1 species